UACAGAGGUCCCGAGCGUUGUUCGGAUUCAUUGGGCGUAAAGGGUGCGUAGGUGGCGCCGUAAGUGGGGUGUGAAAUCCCGGGGCUUAACCCCGGGACUGCAUUCCAUACUGCGGUGCUUGAGGACUGGAGAGGAGACUGGAAUUUACGGUGUAGCAGUGAAAUGCGUAGAGAUCGUAAGGAAGACCAGUGGCGAAGGCGGGUCUCUGGACAGUUCCUGACACUGGAGCACG
rnacentral:rRNA from 1 species